CAGCCGCCGCGGGAAUACGAGGGGGGCAAGCGUUGUUCGGAAUUAUUGGGCGUAAAGGGUGCGUAGGCGGCUUGAUAAGUCUUGUGUGAAAUCUAUGGGCUCAACCCAUAGUCUGCACAGGAAACUGUCGGGCUUGAGAGUGGGAGAGGUGAGUGGAAUUUCCGGUGUAGCGGUGAAAUGCGUAGAUAUCGGAAGGAACACCUGUGGCGAAAGCGGCUCACUGGACCAUUUCUGACGCUGAUGCACGAAAGCUAGGGGAGCAAACAGGAUUAGAUACCCGCGUAGUCCCGUCUCUUAUACA
rnacentral:rRNA from 1 species